rnacentral:rRNA from 1 species
UACGUAGGGGGCAAGCGUUGUCCGGAUUCAUUGGGCGUAAAGAGCGUGUAGGCGGCCAGGUAGGUCGGUUGUGAAAACUGGAGGCUCAACCUUCAGACGUCGACCGAAACCAUCUGGCUAGAGUCCGGGAGAGGAGAGUGGAAUUCCUGGUGUAGCGGUGAAAUGCGCAGAUAUCAGGAAGAACACCAAUGGCGAAAGCAGCUCUCUGGGACGGUACUGACGCUGAGACGCGAAAGCGUGGGGAGCGAACAGG